rnacentral:rRNA from 1 species
UACGUAGGCAGCAAGCGUUGUUCGGAGUUACUGGGCGUAAAGGGUGCGUAGGCGGGUCUUUAAGUCAGGGGGGAAAUCCUGGAGCUCAACUCCAGAACUGCCCUUGAUACUGAGGAUCUUGAGUUCGGGAGAGGUGAGUGGAACUGCGAGUGUAGAGGUGAAAUUCGUAGAUAUUCGCAAGAACACCAGUGGCGAAGGCGGCUCACUGGCCCGAUACUGAUGCUGAGGCACGAAAGCGUGGGGAGCAAACAGG